rnacentral:tRNA from 1 species
GGGUCGCUAGCUCAGUUGGCUAGAGCGCCUCGUUUACACCGAGGAGGUCAGGAGUUCGAGCCUCUUGCGACCCACCA